GACGAACCGUGCGAACGUUGUUCGGAAUCACUGGGCUUAAAGGGCGCGUAGGCGGAUCAUCAAGUCCGGGGUGAAAUCUUUCGGCUUAACCGGAAAAGUGCCUUGGAUACUGGUGGUCUCGAGUGAGGUAGGGGCAUGUGGAACUUCUGGUGGAGCGGUGAAAUGCGUUGAUAUCAGAAGGAACUCCGGUGGCGAAAGCGACGUGCUGGACCGAGAUUGACGCUGAUGAGCGAAAGCUAGGGGAGCAAACGGG
rnacentral:rRNA from 1 species